UACGUAGGGUGCGAGCGUUAAUCGGAAUUACUGGGCGUAAAGCGUGCGCAGGCGGUUGUGCAAGACAGAUGUGAAAUCCCCGGGCUUUAACCUGGGGAAUUGCAUUUGUGACUGCACGGCUAGAGUGUGUCAGAGGGGGGGUAGAAUUCCACGUGUAGCAGUGAAAUGCGUAGAUAUGUGGAGGAAUACCGAUGGCGAAGGCAGCCCCC
rnacentral:rRNA from 1 species